UACGGGGGGGGCAAGCGUUGUUCGGAAUUACUGGGCGUAAAGGGCUCGUAGGCGGCCAACUAAGUCCGACGUGAAAUCCCCAGGCUUAACCUGGGAACUGCGUCGGAUACUGGAUGGCUUGAAUUCGGGAGAGGGAUGCAGAAUUCCAGGUGUAGCGGUGAAAUGCGUAGAUAUCUGGAGGAAUACCGGUGGCGAAGGCGGCAUCCUGGACCGACAUUGACGCUGAGGAGCGAAAGCUAGGGGAGCAAACAGG
rnacentral:rRNA from 1 species